UACGGAGGGUGCAAGCGUUAUCCGGAUUCACUGGGUUUAAAGGGUGCGUAGGCGGGCAGGUAAGUCAGUGGUGAAAUCUCCGGGCUUAACCCGGAACUGCCGUUGAUACUAUCUGUCUUGAGUAUCGUGGAGGUAAGCGGAAUAUGUCAUGUAGCGGUGAAAUGCUUAGAUAUGACAUAGAACACCCAUUGCGAAGGCAGCUUACUACACGAUCAUUGACGCUGAGGCACGAAAGCGUGGGGAGCAAACAGG
rnacentral:rRNA from 1 species